rnacentral:rRNA from 1 species
UACGUAGGUGGCAAGCGUUGUCCGGAUUUAUUGGGCUUAAAGGGUGCGUAGGCGGGCAGGUAAGUCCGUGGUGAAAUCUCUGAGCUUAACUCAGAAACUGCCAUGGAUACUAUUUGUCUUGAAUAUUGUGGAGGUAAGCGGAAUAUGUCAUGUAGCGGUGAAAUGCUUAGAUAUGACAUAGAACACCAAUUGCGAAGGCAGCUUACUACACAGUUAUUGACGCUGAGGCACGAAAGCGUGGGGAUCAAACAGG